AAGUCGUAACAAGGUUUCCGUAGGUGAACCUGCGGAAGGAUCAUUACUGAAUUUUCUAUUUACAUUGUGAACGCCUGUGGUUGCGAGUUUUGGGUUGUUGUUUGGUGGCUUUUGUUUGUUUUGGUCACCGCUAUGCGGUGGUUGGGGCGAAACAGUCACAGACGGAUCCGGCGCGCGCAGCCACAAAAACAUUGACAUUGUACACCAUGCAGUCUAAUACAACAACAACAAUCAAAAACAACUUUUAACAAGGGAUCUCUUGGCUCUC
rnacentral:misc_RNA from 1 species